rnacentral:rRNA from 1 species
CGUGUAGGCGGUUAGGCAAGUCAGAUGUGAAAGCCUUCCGCUUAACGGAAGAAGUGCAUUUGAAACUACCUGGCUGGAGUUCGGGAGAGGAGAGUGGAAUUCCCGGUGUAGAGGUGAAAUUCGUAGAUAUCGGGAGGAACACCGGUGGCGAGGGCGGCUCUCUGGCCCGAUACUGACGCUGAGACGCGAAAGCGUGGGGAGCAAACAGGAUUAGAUACCCUGGUAGUCCACGCCGUAAACGAUGGGCACUAGGUGUAGGAGGUAUUGACCCCUUCUGUGCCGAAGCUAACGCAUUAAGUGCCCCGCCUGGGGAGUACGGCCGCAAGGCUAAA